UGUGAACUCGAAGAGUAGGGCGGGACACGUGGUAUCCUGUCUGAAUAUGGGGGGACCAUCCUCCAAGGCUAAAUACUCCUGACUGACCGAUAGUGAACCAGUACCGUGAGGGAAAGGCGAAAAGAACCCCGGCGAGGGGAGUGAAAAAGAACCUGAAACCGUGUACGUACAAGCAGUGGGAGCACCUUCGGGUGUGACUGCGUACCUUUUGUAUAAUGGGUCAGCGACUUAUAUUCUGUAGCAAGGUUAACCGUAUAGGGGAGCCGCAGGGAAACCGAGUCUUAACUGGGCGUUAAGUUGCAGGGUAUAGACCCGAAACCCGGUGAUCUAGCCAUGGGCAGGUUGAAGGUUGGGUAACACUAACUGGAGGACCGAACCGACUAAUGUUGAAAAAUUAGCGGAUGACUUGUGGCUGGGGGUGAAAGGCCAAUCAAACCGGGAGAUAGCUGGUUCUCCCCGAAAGCUAUUUAGGUAGCGCCUCGUGAACUCAUCUUCGGGGGUAGAGCACUGUUUCGGCUAGGGGGUCAUCCCGACUUACCAACCCGAUGCAAACUACGAAUACCGAAGAAUGUUAUCACGGGAGACACACGGCGGGUGCUAACGUCCGUCGUGAAGAGGGAAACAACCCAGACCGCCAGCUAAGGUCCCAAAGUCAUGGUUAAGUGGGAAACGAUGUGGGAAGGCACAGACAGCCAGGAUGUUGGCUUAGAAGCAGCCAUCAUUUAAAGAAAGCGUAAUAGCUCACUGGUCGAGUCGGCCUGCGCGGAAGAUGUAACGGGGCUAAACCAUGCACCGAAGCUGCGGCAGCGACACUAUGUGUUGUUGGGUAGGGGAGCGUUCUGUAAGCCUGCGAAGGUGUGCUGUGAGGCAUGCUGGAGGUAUCAGAAGUGCGAAUGCUGACAUAAGUAACGAUAAAGCGGGUGAAAAGCCCGCUCGCCGGAAGACCAAGGGUUCCUGUCCAACGUUAAUCGGGGCAGGGUGAGUCGACCCCUAAGGCGAGGCCGAAAGGCGUAGUCGAUGGGAAACAGGUUAAUAUUCCUGUACUUGGUGUUACUGCGAAGGGGGGACGGAGAAGGCUAUGUUAGCCGGGCGACGGUUGUCCCGGUUUAAGCAUGUAGGCUGGUUAUCCAGGCAAAUCCGGAUAAUCAAGGCUGAGGUGUGAUGACGAGGCACUACGGUGCUGAAGUAACAAAUGCCCUGCUUCCAGGAAAAGCCUCUAAGCAU
rnacentral:rRNA from 1 species